GUGAGGAAUAUUGGGCAAUGGGCGAAAGCCUGACCCAGCCACGCCGCGUGAGUGAUGAAGGCCUUCGGGUUGUAAAGCUCUGUGGGGAGGGAAGAAAAAGCGGGAGAGUAACUGCUCUCGUGUUGACGGUACCUCCUUAGCAAGCACCGGCUAACUCUGUGCCAGCAGCCGCGGUAAUACAGAGGGUGCAAACGUUGCUCGGAAUUACUGGGCGUAAAGCGCGUGUAGGCUGACAUGCAAGUCGGGUGUGAAAUCCCAGGGCUCAACCUUGGAACUGCACUCGAAACUGCACGUCUUGAGUACUGGAGAGGGAAGCGGAAUUCCGGGUGUAGAGGUGAAAUUCGUAGAUAUCCGGAGGAACACCAGUGGCGAAGGCGGCUUCCUGGACAGUAACUGACGCUGAGACGCGAAAGCGUGGGGAGCAAACAGGAUUAGAAACCCUUGUAGUCC
rnacentral:rRNA from 1 species